rnacentral:rRNA from 2 species
GGUCAAGUGAAGAAGCGCAUACGGUGGAUGCCUUGGCAGUCAGAGGCGAUGAAAGACGUGGUAGCCUGCGAAAAGCUUCGGGGAGUCGGCAAACAGACUUUGAUCCGGAGAUCUCUGAAUGGGGGAACCCACCUAGGAUAACCUAGGUAUCUUGUACUGAAUCCAUAGGUGCAAGAGGCGAACCAGGGGAACUGAAACAUCUAAGUACCCUGAGGAAAAGAAAUCAACCGAGAUUCCCUUAGUAGUGGCGAGCGAACGGGGAUUAGCCCUUAAGCUUCAUUGAUUUUAGCGGAACGCUCUGGAAAGUGCGGCCAUAGUGGGUGAUAGCCCCGUACGCGAAAGGAUCUUUGAAGUGAAAUCGAGUAGGACGGAGCACGAGAAACUUUGUCUGAACAUGGGGGGACCAUCCUCCAAGGCUAAAUACUACUGACUGACCGAUAGUGAACCAGUACCGUGAGGGAAAGGCGAAAAGAACCCCGGAGAGGGGAGUGAAAUAGAACCUGAAACCGUAUGCGUACAAGCAGUGGGAGCCUACUUGUUAGGUGACUGCGUACCUUUUGUAUAAUGGGUCAGCGACUUAUAUUCAGUGGCAAGCUUAACCGUAUAGGGUAGGCGUAGCGAAAGCGAGUCUUAAUAGGGCGUUUAGUCGCUGGGUAUAGACCCGAAACCGGGCGAUCUAUCCAUGAGCAGGUUGAAGGUUAGGUAACACUGACUGGAGGACCGAACCCACUCCCGUUGAAAAGGUAGGGGAUGACUUGUGGAUCGGAGUGAAAGGCUAAUCAAGCUCGGAGAUAGCUGGUUCUCCUCGAAAGCUAUUUAGGUAGCGCCUCAUGUAUCACUCUGGGGGGUAGAGCACUGUUUCGGCUAGGGGGUCAUCCCGACUUACCAAACCGAUGCAAACUCCGAAUACCCAGAAGUGCCGAGCAUGGGAGACACACGGCGGGUGCUAACGUCCGUCGUGAAAAGGGAAACAACCCAGACCGCCAGCUAAGGUCCCAAAGUUGUGGUUAAGUGGUAAACGAUGUGGGAAGGCUUAGACAGCUAGGAGGUUGGCUUAGAAGCAGCCACCCUUUAAAGAAAGCGUAAUAGCUCACUAGUCGAGUCGGCCUGCGCGGAAGAUGUAACGGGGCUCAAACCACACACCGAAGCUGCGGGUGUCACGUAAGUGACGCGGUAGAGGAGCGUUCUGUAAGCCUGUGAAGGUGAGUUGAGAAGCUUGCUGGAGGUAUCAGAAGUGCGAAUGCUGACAUGAGUAACGACAAUGGGUGUGAAAAACACCCACGCCGAAAGACCAAGGGUUCCUGCGCAACGUUAAUCGACGCAGGGUUAGUCGGUUCCUAAGGCGAGGCUGAAAAGCGUAGUCGAUGGGAAACAGGUUAAUAUUCCUGUACUUCUGGUUACUGCGAUGGAGGGACGGAGAAGGCUAGGCCAGCUUGGCGUUGGUUGUCCAAGUUUAAGGUGGUAGGCUGAAAUCUUAGGUAAAUCCGGGGUUUCAAGGCCGAGAGCUGAUGACGAGUCGUCUUUUAGAUGACGAAGUGGUUGAUGCCAUGCUUCCAAGAAAAGCUUCUAAGCUUCAGGUAACCAGGAACCGUACCCCAAACCGACACAGGUGGUCGGGUAGAGAAUACCAAGGCGCUUGAGAGAACUCGGGUGAAGGAACUAGGCAAAAUGGCACCGUAACUUCGGGAGAAGGUGCGCCGGCUAGGGUGAAGGAUUUACUCCGUAAGCUCUGGCUGGUCGAAGAUACCAGGCCGCUGCGACUGUUUAUUAAAAACACAGCACUCUGCAAACACGAAAGUGGACGUAUAGGGUGUGACGCCUGCCCGGUGCCGGAAGGUUAAUUGAUGGGGUUAGCGCAAGCGAAGCUCUUGAUCGAAGCCCCGGUAAACGGCGGCCGUAACUAUAACGGUCCUAAGGUAGCGAAAUUCCUUGUCGGGUAAGUUCCGACCUGCACGAAUGGCGUAACGAUGGCGGCGCUGUCUCCACCCGAGACUCAGUGAAAUUGAAAUCGCUGUGAAGAUGCAGUGUAUCCGCGGCUAGACGGAAAGACCCCGUGAACCUUUACUGUAGCUUUGCACUGGACUUUGAGCCUGCUUGUGUAGGAUAGGUGGGAGGCUUUGAAGCGUGGACGCCAGUUCGCGUGGAGCCAUCCUUGAAAUACCACCCUGGCAUGCUUGAGGUUCUAACUCUGGUCCGUAAUCCGGAUCGAGGACAGUGUAUGGUGGGCAGUUUGACUGGGGCGGUCUCCUCCUAAAGAGUAACGGAGGAGUACGAAGGUGCGCUCAGACCGGUCGGAAAUCGGUCGUAGAGUAUAAAGGCAAAAGCGCGCUUGACUGCGAGACAGACACGUCGAGCAGGUACGAAAGUAGGUCUUAGUGAUCCGGUGGUUCUGUAUGGAAGGGCCAUCGCUCAACGGAUAAAAGGUACUCCGGGGAUAACAGGCUGAUACCGCCCAAGAGUUCAUAUCGACGGCGGUGUUUGGCACCUCGAUGUCGGCUCAUCACAUCCUGGGGCUGAAGCCGGUCCCAAGGGUAUGGCUGUUCGCCAUUUAAAGUGGUACGCGAGCUGGGUUUAGAACGUCGUGAGACAGUUCGGUCCCUAUCUGCCGUGGACGUUUGAGAUUUGAGAGGGGCUGCUCCUAGUACGAGAGGACCGGAGUGGACGAACCUCUGGUGUUCCGGUUGUCACGCCAGUGGCAUUGCCGGGUAGCUAUGUUCGGAAAAGAUAACCGCUGAAAGCAUCUAAGCGGGAAACUUGCCUCAAGAUGAGAUCUCACUGGGAACUUGAUUCCCCUGAAGGGCCGUCGAAGACUACGACGUUGAUAGGCUGGGUGUGUAAGCGUUGUGAGGCGUUGAGCUAACCAGUACUAAUUGCCCGUGAGGCUUGACCAU